AGGAGCACAAGACCUGAAGCCCUGAGCAAUGGAAAAUCAUCUGAUGAGUCAUCCAGUUUUACCCCUUCAUCCAGAUGGAUUUAUAUUUGGAGAAGCCCCGAGCCCUUAUCAUCUAUUAAAGUUGGAGGUGUUUGGUGAAGCGAGGGAGAAGCAUGAGUACCCAACCAUGUGUGAUUGAGCAACUGGUCAAUAAAGAGAAAGAUGGUGUUGAAAACACUCCCCAAGGCCCGUUUGAGAUGAGCCGGGUCUGCGCAGAAUCGAUCACCGGCGAUCGCGCACCCAAUGCAUGCCGUUUAGAUUUGCGUCCGACUUGAUCCCGACUUGCUCUGACGUCAUGCAUGCGUGGGCAACAAUAACCUCACGAGAUC